UCCCUGGUGGUCCAGUGGCCAAGACCCUGCACUCGCAAUGCAGGGGUCCUGGGUUCGAUCCCUGGCCAGAGAA